AAGAGAGGCCUAUUUAAGGCCCCAACCUGUGAACUUAAGACUAAACAAGGGGCCAAAGUGUUAUUAUCAAGAGAUUAGGGGAUAUUUUGUAAACUUUGCCCACUUUUCCAUUCUCCCUCCAAAAAUUUACACUGCUCGGACUCUUCUCUCUCUCUCCAAGGGUUUCAAAACUGAAAUUCCACGGCCAAACAGAACGAAACGGAUAAUUCACAAUGGCGAAUCACCGGAGCCGAAGCAGCAGCCGCGGACGCCGCCGAAUACGGAGCCGCAGCCGAAGCCCGGCGACACGUAAGGAAGACAAGCGCGGCGAGCGACGCUCGCCUGCCCUCUCUUGCCUCUAUGUCACCAACAUUCCUUUCAGUACGAGUCGAGAAGAGAUUAGAGUUCAUUUUGAAAAAUUUGGCCCGUUAGAGGAUGUUAAUCUGCCCAACUUCUUCUACUCAGGGAAACCUCGUGGGUUUGGAUUUGUUAAGUUCCUGAAUCCUGAAGAUGCAGCUAAAGCACAAAAACAACUGGAUCAUACGGUCAUUUCUGGGCGUGUAGUAACUGUUACUCUUACUAGGAUAAACAAGAAAACUCCUGCAGAAAUGCGUAAACUUACAGGGCCAAGGUUGUACAUUUUAUUUAGUUUGUCUUUUCUUGGUAAUUACAUUGUUCCUAGGUAUAUUGACUUAGGUUAUCGUGCUCUUAUUUGCAGUUACCGGGGAAGCCGCUGGAAACGGAGUCCAUUGUCUUCCCCAAGACAAAGAUAUCGCUCUUAUUUGCGCUCCCGUUCUCCAGCAAGGCUUGACUUGAGAUUUUUUGCGUUACGUUUUCAUCAAUGCCUUUCCAGAAGUCUGUCGUGGAUAACUUAACUUCUGCAUUACUUGGUACUAUUUUUGAAAAAUAUUUACAUGGUCGACAGAACUUCUGUUUCUUUUCUUCUUAGUUUGCUAGUUUGAUUUACUGAUGUUGCUUGCCAUCCAGUUAAAGAAAGAUUCUAGAUCGUAUAUUUGGCGAAAGAAAGAAAGAAACCAUCUUCAAAGAAGCAAAAAGUUUCAAAGUCAUUACUGAUGGCUCUGAAGUUCAUUGAUGUAGAGCCCUUAAACAUUGUGUGCUUCACAGUAUCUUGUUUUUUUCAGAAAUUCUGAAAAAAAGAAAUUCAGGUACACAAGUCAUACUUCAGUCGAUUAGGUUUUUUGACGACGACUUGUCUUGUUUUAUUUUCAACCGGUGCAUUUGGAAUUUGAAUUUCUGUGCUCUUUUAUGUGAAUUGUGUGUCGACAGGCUAACCUUGUAAGAGAGAAUCAGAGAUCUUAGUAGCUGUUUUUUCGUAUUUUCUUCUGGUUUUGCUAAUUUUUACCUUGAAAAAUGCAAAAUAACUAAUUAUUUGCAUAUUGCACUUUCCUUUUCAUAGAAGACAUAGGUCUCGUGAAAGGUCUCGAAGACAUCGUAAGUCUUCUCCGCACGACGAGAAAAGUCAAAAGUCAAAUCGCGGGUCUCCAAGCUCUAAAGAAAAGGUUCGAACUGAUUAUGCACCAAGAAGGAGCCCAGCCAAAUCUCGUUCGAGAUACUACAGUCGUCGCUGAAAGUACGUUUGAUCGGUGCUGUGCAGUGUAUAUUCGACCAAGUUACUUUUAUCGCUUUUGUUUGCUUAGAAAAAAAAGAAAGAAAAUCAGAACCAAAGUUAUCAAUAGCAUGUGAAGAUUGAAGAUAUGUAAACAUAGAGAAGUUGGUGAUUGUAAUUUGUAAAUAAAUUUCAGAUAAUUGCUUUACUUUUAUAAGUUGUUGGUGUUUGCUAAUGUCAUGACAAUUCGAUUUUAAAUAGCUAAUGGUCCUUGCAAAUAAAAAAAUAUACUUGACAUAAACCUACCAAUAUUAUAUACAUCAU